rnacentral:rRNA from 1 species
GUCCACGCCGUAAACGAUGACAACUAGGUGUCGGGCAUCUAAGGAUGUUCGGUGCCGCAGCUAACGCGAUAAGUUGUCCGCCUGGGGAGUACGGCCGCAAGGCUAAAACUAAAAGGAAUUGACGGGGGCCCCGCACAAGCAGCGGAGCGUGUGGUUUAAUUCGAUGCAACGCGAAGAACCUUACCUGGCCUUGACAUGCAGGUGGUAGGGAACCGAAAGGGGACCGACCCUCGGGAGCCUGCACAGGUGCUGCAUGGCUGUCGU